rnacentral:rRNA from 1 species
UCAUGCCGCGUGAGUGACGAAGGUCUUCGGAUUGUAAAGCUCUUUUGGCGGGGACGAUAAUGCGGUACCCGCUGAAUAAGCCCCGGCUGACUUCGUGCCAGCAGCCGCGGUAAUACGAAGGGGGCUAGCGUUGUUCGUGAAUUACUGGGCGUAAAGCGCACGUAGGCGGACUUAUAAGUCAGGGGUGAAAUCCCGGGGCUCAACCUCGGAACUGCCUUUGAUACUGUGAGUCUAGAGACCGGAAGAGGUAAGUGGAAUCCCUAGUGUAGAGGUGAAAUUCGUAGAUAUUACGAAGAACACCAGUGGCGAAGUGCGGCUUACUGGUCCGGUUCUGACGCUGAGGUGCGAAAGCGUGGGGAGCAAACAGGAUUAGAUAUCCUGGUUGUCCACGCCGAAAACUGACUGGAUGCUAACCGUCGGCAAGCUUGCUUG